rnacentral:tRNA from 1 species
GGGGCUAUAGCUCAGCUGGGAGAGCGCUGCCAUGGCAUGGCAGAGGUCGUCGGUUCGAGCCCGACUAGCUCCA